CCCUGUAGAUCAUAUGGUAAAGAACCUGCUUGCAAUGCAGGAGACCCGGGUUCAAUCCCUGGGUCGGGAA
rnacentral:tRNA from 1 species